AACGAACGCUGGCGGCAUGCCUAACACAUGCAAGUCGAACGAGACCUUCGGGUCUAGUGGCGCACGGGUGCGUAACGCGUGGGAACCUGCCCUUAGGUUCGGAAUAACUCCCCGAAAGGGGUGCUAAUACCGGAUAAUGUCUUCGGACCAAAGAUUUAUCGCCUUUGGAUGGGCCCGCGUUGGAUUAGCUAGUUGGUAGGGUAAAAGCCUACCAAGGCGACGAUCCAUAGCUGGUCUGAGAGGAUGAUCAGACACACUGGGACUGAGACACGGCCCAGACUCCUACGGGAGGCAGCAGUGGGGAAUAUUGGACAAUGGGCGAAAGCCUGAUCCAGCAAUGCCGCGUGAGUUAUGAAGGCCUUAGGGUUGUAAAGCUCUUUUACCCGGGAUGAUAAUGACAGUACCGGGAGAAUAAGCUCCGGCUAACUCCGUG
rnacentral:rRNA from 1 species